GGCAGAUCAUGAUUACAUUCCUCAAUACAGACCUGUUCUUAGGCAGAUCAUGAUUACAUUUGAUGCAUCAUUCAUGUAACCUUCUACUAUUGAGCCAAAUAAACCUGAGAUCUUUCCAUGGAAAUUGUAGUUUAACAUACGCUAGUCUGACAUGAUUGUAUUGUUUUCUGCCAAGGAGACGUACUGUAACCAUUGUUUGUUUUAAUCUUCAAAAUGAAAGCACAGGAGAAGCUUUCCUAUUGUGUUAUUGACUGUACGUUUGUUUACUCCAUGUGUAACUGUGUUGUUUGUGUCGCACAGCUUUGCUUUAUCUUGGCCAGGUCUCAGUUGUAAAUGAGACCUUGUUCUCAACUGGUCUACCUGGUUAAAUAAAGGUGUUCUCAACUGGUCUACCUGGUUAAAUAAAGGUGUUCUCAACUGGCCUACCUGGGUAAAUAAAGGUGUUCUCAACUGGUCUACCUGGUUAAAUAAAGGUGUUCUCAACUGGCCUACCUGGUUAAAUAAAGGUGUUCUCAACUGGUCUACCUGGUUAAAUAAAGGUGUUCUCAACUGGCCUACCUGGUUAAAUAAAGGUGUUCUCAACUGGUCUACCUGGUUAAAUAAAGGUGUUCUCAGCUGGUCUACCUGGUUAAAU
ensembl:lncRNA